ensembl:lncRNA
AUCACCUAGAACCCGUGUGGUGUGAUUCCGUCUCCGCUGCUAAAAAAGACCCUGGCUGCCGCAGACCUCUCAGGCGCUGCCUGGCCCUGGAGAGCGCAGCUAGGUAGCUAGAGUGUGUGUGAGCGGUGGUUCGUGUGGCUAGUGGUAAUUGUAAGAGUAUUGACUUUCUUUUCCUUUUUUGACAGCAAUGGCUUGAUUUCCAUUUCUUGUGUUCAUUUUCAUAAUGCAGUGUGAAUCUGUUCUCACCUGUGUACAGUGCAGCUGAAUAGUGAGUGAAAAUUAACAUAAUUGUAUUUUGUAAGGAGUUCUCAGAACAUAUUUUUGAAAAAAAAAAAUUGGCAUAUAUGUCUUAAUUAUUGUUUAUUUUAAUUUAUUCAUUUGCAUAAACAGUAUCGGCUGCCUUUGUGUAGUGUGGAAGGAGAUGCCGUUCUAAUGCAGUGUGCUGGUUCCAGUGUAAGGCCCCAGGUUAGUGUGUGUGUGUGUGUGUGUGUGUGUGUGUGUGUGUGUGUGUGUGUGUGUGUGUGUGUGGUGGUGCUGGUUGGGUGUGGGCCCCACUGACCAGCUGUGUAAUCAUUCAGCCCCUGGUGUCUGUCGGAGCCUUGUGCUCUGAACCGGCAGCGUCUCCACACCCAACCAGGAUGAACCUCCUCAGAGAGGACUCUGGUGUACUGAAGCAGGCCCAGCACACUCUAUGGCCUUCGCUCCGGAGCGCGGCGGCUUCAUAAGGCCUUACUGAACGCACUUUGAACAAGGGUUGUAAGGAAACGAAAUACAGAUAUUUUUGCACUUAGAACAUUAUGAAGAAGUAUGUUGAGCAGUGUGACUAAGACAGAACAAACUGUGCAGUAUUGGCAUGACGCUGGAGCUGACGUGCUCGCUACCCCCCCCCCCUCCCCACACACCCCACCCCAUCUGUCGGGUCCAGGCAAUGCUGUUUAAUUCCCGAUCCUAGUGUUACUAAUACAGACUGAUCCCUUCCUACCCCAUUUAUAACAUCAGUUUAGUAGCCAGAACAACAUGUCUGCUAGUAUACUAAUUCUGUCAUUAAUUAUUUGACGGAAUGCCUUGUUCACUGCUGGGCAGAUGUGCAGACUUCCAGUACACCCCUGGAGAUGCAAAAAUUCCAGCAUUACUUGUCCUGACCAAUAUACCAAGAUAUGCAUCUGUGAAGAGCGAAGCUCUGGUGACAGCAGUUGUUGAUGUGUGUGGCGCGUCUGUAUUGCUGCUGUUAAGAGUGUCAGGAGGAGGAGGCCGUAGACACGGCCUGAAGGGGAAGCAGGGUGUUCACCGCGAUCAGGAGAGACACUCAGUGGGGUGCUCUAGUCUUCCACCAGGGGGACGUUUGGCACCAGUGUGUGUGUGUGUGUGUGUGUGUGUGUUUCAAGUGUGACUGAAGCACCAGAACUUGAUCAUCUGAAGGACAAAACGGCUCCUAAAGCAAUCUGUGCCCACAGGGGAUGCCAUUUUGUAAGCUCUCAUAUGACUCUUUGUAUCGGCCUGCUUGCAUUUUACAGGAAUCUGUGCUACGCAUAAGUUAUUUCUUAAACAUCACAAAUAUAUAUUUAGUUAUUGUGCUUUCAGUUUAUAUAUAUAUAUAUAUAUAUAUAAAUAUAUAUAUACUGAAAGCACAACAUAGUUGAAAUAUAUUUAUUGUUUGUGUGUAAAAUCCCCAUCCUUAUUUCAUAGAGAAUGUAGGCUCUUAUGGUUUGCUUGAUCUGUGUGUGUGUGCUUUCUAUCUUUGCUGUAUGUCAGCAGUCUUUCUGUGUUUGCUGUGUGUAAACAAAAACCAUCCCAUUCUUUCUAUGAAAGUAAUACCUCUAUGUGUGGGACGAACACACUCAACUGGUAUGAAUCUGAGAUAUGUGGCAUUUUCUACCUUUUUAAAAUGCCGUUUCUUUUCAGUUUGUGAUUUAAAUGCUAAACACAAAUUGGUGGUUUUUCUCCCUCAUGGUUUUGUCUUGAUGCCUUUUGUGUACAUUUCUUUACAUUUUGUCUUCUGUUUGGAGGAUGGUUGUCUUUCUGUUAUGAUGUAAAAGCUUGCAAGUAACCAGACUUUUAAAUGUCUAGGCAAUAUUUGAUGUAUAGAGUAUAUUGACCAAUACUUUGAGUUUGAAGGUUUUAUGGAACAACAUCUAAUAAAAAUGUAUUCCAUCAACAUA